CAGCCAGACUGGAACUGAGACACGGUCCAGACUCCUACGGGAGGCAGCAGUGAGGAAUCUUCCACAAUGGGCGAAAGCCUGAUGGAGCAACGCCGCGUGAAGGAUGAAGGCCUUCGGGUUGUAAACUUCUUUUAUGAGUGAAGAAUAUGACGGUAACUCAUGAAUAAGCACCGGCUAACUACGUGCCAGCAGCCGCGGUCAUACGUAGGGUGCAAGCAUUAUCCGGAGUGACUGGGCGUAAAGAGUUGCGUAGGCGGUUUAAUAAGUGAAUAGUGAAACCUGGUGGCUCAACCAUACAGACUAUUAUUCAAACUGUUAAACUCGAGAGUAGUAGAGGUAACUGGAAUUUCUAGUGUAGGAGUGAAAUCCGUAGAUAUUAGAAGGAACACCAAUGGCGUAGGCAGGUUACUGGACUAUUUCUGACGCUAAGGCACGAAAGCGUGGGGAGCGAACUGGAUUAGAUACCCAGGUAGUCCACGCCGUAAACGAUGGAUACUAGCUGUUGGAGGUAUCGACCCCUUCAGUAGCGAAGCUAACGCGUUAAGUAUCCCGCCUGUGGAGUACGGCCGCAAGGCUAAAACAUAAAGGAAUUGACGGGGACCCGCACAAGCGGUGGAUCAUGUUCUUUAAUUCGAUGAUAAACGAAGAACCUUACCAGGGUUUGACAUCCCGAGAAGAUUUACGAAAGUAGAUUGUGCCUUUUGGAACUCGGUGACAGAUGAUGCAUGGCCGUCGUCAGCUCGUGUCGUGAGAUGUUUGGUUAAGUCCAUCAACGAGCGCAACCCUUGUGAAUAGUUGAAUUUUUCUAUUCAGACUGCCCCGGCAACGGGGAGGAAGGAGGGGAUGAUGUCAGGUCAGUAUUUCUCUUACAUCCUGGGCUAGAAACGUGAUACAAUGGCAAGUACAAUGCGCAGCGAAGCCGCGAGGUGAAGCAAAUCGCACCAAAGCUUGUCCCAGUUCGGAUUGGAGGCUGAAACUCGCCUCCAUGAAGUCGGAAUCGCUAGUAAUCGCAGGUCAGCAAACUGCGGUGAAUACGUUCCCGGGUCUUGUACACACCGCCCGUCAAGCCAUGAAAGUGACCAACACCCGAAGUCCGAUUCGUCGGCCUAAGGUGGGGGGCAUGAUUGGGGUUAAGUCGUAACAAGGUAUCCGUACCGGAAGGUGCGGAUG
rnacentral:rRNA from 1 species